rnacentral:rRNA from 1 species
GACGAACGCUGGCGGCGUGCCUAAUACAUGCAAGUCGAGCGGGGAUUAUGCUUGAUCGCUUCGGUGAGACGGCAUAUAUCCUAGCGGCGGACGGGUGAGUAACGCGUGGGUAAUCUACCUCGUAGUUCGGGAUAACAGGCCGAAAGGCUUGCUAAUACCGGAUGAGUUCAUGCUUAUGCAUAUAGGCAUGAAGAAAGGGCUAGCCCGCUAUGAGAUGAGCCCGCGUCCCAUUAGCUUGUUGGUGGGGUAAUGGCCUACCAAGGCAACGAUGGGUAGCCGGCCUGAGAGGGUGUACGGCCACACUGGGACUGAGACACGGCCCAGACUCCUACGGGGGGCAGCAGUAGGGAAUUUUCGGCAAUGGGCGAAAGCCUGACCGAGCGACGCCGCGUGAGGGACGAAGGCCUUCGGUUGUAAACCUCUGUCUGGGGGAGUGAGAACGGACGGUACCCCGGACGGAAGCCCCGGCUAACUACGUGCCAGCAGCCGCGGUAAAACGUCACGUCG